rnacentral:rRNA from 1 species
GAUGAACGCUGGCGGCGUGCCUAAUACAUGCAAGUCGAGCGAACAGACGAGGAGCUUGCUCCUCUGACGUUAGCGGCGGACGGGUGAGUAACACGUGGAUAACCUACCUAUAAGACUGGGAUAACUUCGGGAAACCGGAGCUAAUACCGGAUAAUAUAUUGAACCGCAUGGUUCAAUAGUGAAAGACGGUUUUGCUGUCACUUAUAGAUGGAUCCGCGCCGCAUUAGCUAGUUGGUAAGGUAACGGCUUACCAAGGCAACGAUGCGUAGCCGACCUGAGGGGGUGAUCGGCGAUACUGGAACUGAGACACGGUCCAGACUCCUACGGGAGGCAGCAGUAGGGAAUCUUACGCAAUGGGCGAAAGCCUGACGGAGCAACGCCGCGUGAGUGAUGAAGGUCUUCGGAUCGUAAAACUCUGUUAUUAGGGAAGAACAAAUGUGUAAGUAACUAUGCACGUCUUGACGGUACCUAAUCAGAAAGCCACGGCUAACUACGUG